AUUAUGGUCUAAAAAAGUCAUUAGCUAAUCAGCAUUCAGAAAUCAAGUGGGAAAAUGUCCGCGAGACCAGAGGAACUUUGUGGAGUGAAAGAGGAGCCCCCACGUCACUGAUGCGUGACUGUGUGCAAACUAAUUCACGCUAAGAUCUAUAUGUCAGCCAAGCCCACUAUCCAUAGCACCCGGAGUCUACAUGCAUCAAGGACGAGGAGGAAGAGGCACCAUCCAUUAAGGAAGAGUUAAUACACAUUAAAGGUAAACCUGCAUAUGAAAUGCUGACAACACAUCCCGAUUGGUCACCGUCUCUCUUCUUGGGUUAUUCUGAGGUCAAGUGCACCACAUCGGAGCGUUAUGAGAGGUUGGAAAGGCGAAGAGUGCACGCUGAAACUUCUGUUUGCUGUUCUCUUACAAACAUGAGCCCAAGUGUUGUUGUGAAAGUCAAUAAAAUGUGAAUACCAAAACAUGACUUGAACA